AACCUCGAGACACGUUUUCCGUGCGGCGCUAUGGACAAGUUCCUUGGAACAGGACAUCGUAGAGGGUGAAAAUCCCGUACUUGCCAUGGAUGUACCGUGCUUUGCGAUACGUGCUCUAAGAGUCGAGUUGUUUGGGAUUGCAGCUCAAAAUGGGUGGUAGACUCCAUCUAAAGCUAAAUAUCGGGGAGAGACCGAUAGCGAACAAGUACCGUGAGGGAAAGAUGAAAAGCACUUUGGAAAGAGAGUUAAAAGUACGUGAAAUUGUCGAAAGGGAAGCGCUUGAAGUCAGCCAUGCCGCUCAGGACUCAGCCUGGCUUUUGCUUGGUGUAUUUCCUGGGUAGCAAGUCAGCAUUGGUUUGGAUCGUCGGAGAAGCAUAGUCGGAAUGUGGCGCCCUCGGGCGUGUUAUAGCCUUCUAUUGGAUACGACGAUCUAGACCAA
rnacentral:rRNA from 1 species